rnacentral:rRNA from 1 species
CCUACGUGCGGCAGCAGUGGGGAAUAUUGCGCAAUGGGCGAAAGCCUGACGCAGCGACGCCGCGUGAGGGAUGAAGGUCUUCGGAUCGUAAACCUCUGUCAGCAGGGAAGAACGGUCACUGUGCUAAUCAGCAGUGAAUUGACGGUACCUGCACAGGAAGCACCGGCUAACUCCGUGCCAGCAGCCGCGGUAAUACGGAGUGUGCGAGCGUUAAUCGGAAUUACUGGGCGUAAAGCGCUCGUAGGCGGUAUGUCAAGUCAAGGGUGAAAUCCCCGGGCUCAACGUGGGAACUGCCUUUGAAACUGGCAAACUGGAGUGUGUGAGAGGAUAGUGGAAUUCCAGGUGUAGGAGUGAAAUCCGUAGAUAUCUGGAGGAACAUCAGUGGCGAAGGCGACUAUCUGGCACAUAACUGACGCUGAGGAGCGAAAGCGUGGGUAGCAAACAGGAUUAGAUACCCCUGUAGUC